UGCCAGCCGCCGCGGUAAUACGGGGGGUGCAAGCGUUGUUCGGAAUCAUUGGGCGUAAAGCGGGUGUAGGCGGCUUGGCAAGUCGGAUGUGAAAGCCCAGGGCUCAACCCUGGAAUUGCAUUCGAAACUGCCUCGCUAGAGUCCCGGAGAGGGUGGCGGAAUUCCCGGUGUAGAGGUGAAAUUCGUAGAUAUCGGGAGGAACACCAGUGGCGAAGGCGGCCACCUGGACGGUGACUGACGCUGAGACCCGAAAGCGUGGGGAGCAAACAGGAUUAGAUA
rnacentral:rRNA from 1 species